UGCGGGGCCCGCUGCCGCCAGGUAAGGCGCUGGGAUCCACAUCCCACGAAAGCCAUCGGGCUGGAGGCUUGGGCGGCCUGCCAGGAGCCAAGCAGGACUGCACUCCUAAAACACAAUGAUGUUUUAAGAUGCUGUCUUUGGUCAAAAAGACUGAAGAGGUCACUUUUCUGCUCAGGCUUUCUCCUAUGAACAUUUAACCAAGUGCCAACUCAUUUUGGAUUGUUUUCCUCAUCACAGAAGCCAGCUUCUCUGCACAUUCCACAGGGCAGCAGAAAUGGAGGGACAAUAAAAUCAC